rnacentral:rRNA from 1 species
GCCCUACGGGGGGCAGCAGUGAGGAAUAUUGGUCAAUGGCCGGAAGGCUGAACCAGCCAAGCCGCGUGAGGGAGGAGGGCGCAGAGCGUCGCAGACCUCUUUUGCCGGGGGACAAAAGGCCGGACUCGUCCGGUCCUGAGGGUACCCGGAGAAAAAGCAUCGGCUAACUCCGUGCCAGCAGCCGCGGUAAUACGGAGGAUGCGAGCGUUAUCCGGAUUCAUUGGGCGUAAAGGGAACGCAGGCGGUCUUUUAAGUCUGUUGUGAAAGCCUUCGGCUUAACCGGAGUAGUGCAUGGG